rnacentral:rRNA from 1 species
GAUCCUGGCUCAGGACGAACGCUGGCGGCACGCUUAACACAUGCAAGUCGAACGGAGAACAUUGAGCUUGCUUAAUGUUCUUAGUGGCGGACGGGUGAGUAACACGUGAGUAACCUGCCUCUGAGAGUGGGAUAGCUUCUGGAAACGGAUGGUAAUACCGCAUAACAUCAUGGAUUCGCAUGUUUCUAUGAUCAAAGAUUUAUCGCUUAGAGAUGGACCUCG